rnacentral:rRNA from 1 species
AGAAUCUGCCUAGAGGAUGGGGACAACCACGGGAAACUGUGGCUAAUACCCAAUGAGCGGAGACGUUAAAGAUUUAUCGCCUCUAGAGGAGCUCGCGUCUGAUUAGCUAGUUGGUGGGGUAAAAGCCUACCAAGGCGACGAUCAGUAGCUGGUCUGAGAGGACAACCAGCCACACUGGGACUGAGACACGGCCCAGACUCCUACGGGAGGCAGCAGUGGGGAAUUUUCCGCAAUGGGCGAAAGCCUGACGGAGCAAUACCGCGUGAGGGAGGAAGGCUCUUGGGUCGUAAACCUCUUUUCUCAGGGAAGAAGAAAGUGACGGUACCUGAGGAAUCAGCCUCGGCUAACUCCGUGCCAGCAGCCGCGGUAAUACGGAGGAGGCAAGCGUUAUCCGGAAUUAUUGGGCGUAAAGCGUCCGUAGGUGGCUCUUCAAGUCUGCUGUCAAAGAGUGGGGCUUAACUCCAGAAAGGCAGUGGAAACUGAAAGGCUAGAGAGCCGUAGGGGUAGAGGGAAUUCCCGGUGUAGCGGUGAAAUGCGUAGAGAUCGGGAAGAACAUCGGUGGCGAAAGCGCUCUACUGGACGGUAUCUGACACUGAGGGACGAAAGCUAGGGGAGCGA